ncrna:Clostridioides difficile CD160 FMN riboswitch (RFN element)
GUUUUUCUUCAGAAACGGGUGAAAUUCCCUAUCGGCGGUAAAAGCCCGCGAGCCUUAUGGCAUAAUUUGGUCAGAUUCCAAAGCCGACAGUAAAAUCUGGAUGGUAGAAGAAAAUA